UUUACUCCCAUUACGGUUUGUGUUUCCGGGAGUGACACGCAACCUCGGAGACACAAUGAAGCUGCAAAGACAAUAUAAUUAGCAAGUGCCUUUUUCUGCCACUCACACCGAGCAUUAUUUAGUGUCAUGCAAAUUGUGUCAGUGCAAUGUUGAAGUGCUGCUGUCUUCUUUCAGUCAGCUAACCGAUGUCUAUUGCGCCAGCGAGCCAGCUUUAUAGGUGAGAUAGCAAACUGCCAGUGCACCGUUAUCUAGCCUGCUAGCUGAGCACCAUUGGGAUUGGCUGUUAAUCUUUUGCUACAUAUCAUAGCUGUCCAGCUAAUUUGUACAAUGGAGUUUCCUUUUGAUAUUAACCAAAUAUUCUCAGAGAGGGUCUCCAUCUUGGACCAGACCCUUGUUGCAGGCCGCAGAUCAGCAGAAAGGCCUGAUCUUCAAGCCCAUAUAGCCACAGUUAUUGAUGAACUUGGCAGAGCCUCAGCAAAGGCCCAACAGCUUACAGCACCGAUAACGAGUGCUUCCAAGCUGCAGUCUCAGAGGCAUCAGCUCUACCUGCUGAAGGAUGGAGAGAGCAGCGGAGGGCGUGGUGUGGUCGUGGGAUUUCUGAAAGUUGGCUACAAGAAGUUAUUUCUGCUUGACCGUGGAGGUGUGCAUAUAGAGGCAGAGCCCCUGUGUGUCCUGGAUUUCUACAUAGCAGAGAACUUGCAGCGACAUGGCUAUGGGCUUGAGCUGUUUGAUUUCAUGUUGCAGCACAAGAAUUUAGAGCCAGUGUUGAUGGCUUAUGACAGGCCCUCACCUAAAUUCCUGUCUUUUUUGGCAAAGCAUUACUGCCUGACACAGAGUGUUCCUCAGGUCAAUAACUUUGUGGUGUUUGAGGGCUUCUUCUUCUCCAACAGAUCAGGCUUACCCUCCUCUCCUCUGACGGAUCAGGGGAUGUACGGCUUUUUUGGCCCAGUUGAGAAAGGUUCCCCUAAAAAAACCGGACGGAGAGAUCAAACCCUACUCUCUCAUGGAGAGAGAAGUGGUGCGUCAGGAACAGAGAACUCUCCCAUGGCCAUUUGCUCCUCCUCACUCCCCCCAGCGAUUGGUAUCCUCCCAGUGCUCCCACUCCCCCAGCAUGAGAUCCUCCCCCAGCAGGGCGCCCCCUCAAGUUCUCCUGCCUUCUUCCCCUGGGGGCAGCAGGAACCAAAGCCCACAGUCACCUCUCAUAGAUCGCUGCAGGGAAAGACGCAGCAGCCAACAGGGUCUGGCUGCUAGGUGUAGCCUGUACAGUCGAAAUAUGGACAACAGAGCUGUUGGACCGCUGGACAGACCUUUGCCAGGUGCCAACUUCUCUCACUUUCAUGUCUGCAUCCAAGAAGGAUGGCAUCGGCCGCUGAACCUCCAUAGACUGCAGAGAGAUGCAUAUGGCUACAGAUUCUGAAGCCUGUGGUGUUGAAGAGGAGAUUGAGGUGUUAGACAGUCUGCAAAGUCUAGCAGGAGGCACCCAGAGACCUCAGUUGGAGGAGGAGAGUGACAGAGACAAGGCUGGUCAUGGACCGUAGAAAUGAACUGCUCAGUCGAUACAACAGAAACAGGAAUACAGAAUCACCCGACCUUGGUGAUCAGGAGGCAGCUGAUUGUCAACAUUGAGAUAUUCAGUUCAAUUUUAUUUAUAUAGCACCAAUUACAGUUCAUAUUGUCUCAAGACACUUUACAGAACCCAUAUGCCUGCUGCAAAAAACACUUUUUUUCCUCCGUUGCAUUGAUAUAGGGAUUUCUUGGUGAAGUGCUGAGAACUCUGAAUGCUCAGGGCUAUAUUCAGUUCCCAAACUCUGUUGAUAGAAAAAGGUGCUCCCAGUUUUUCUGGUUUAUAAGAGGGGUAGUGUAAUGUCUGUCUUGGCUGGUGCCCAUCUGUUCGUCUUAUCUGGUUAACCAAACUGGUGAUAGCCAAAUAUGGAGCUGCUUCACUUCAGUAGCCAUCAGAUAACCAGCAGCCUCUAAACCACUUGGAAACUUGGGUAUAAACAGCAGAUUUUGUUCUGUCGAAAAUGCUUGACCACUUCUUGUCUUGUCUUUUUCUCAUUUGAACAACCAAUGCAUUAAGCUUACAAGGUUUCAGUUAGGUUAACAAAGAGGCACAGAAAAAGUAAACCAAGACACUACAUUCAAUAUCCAUCACGAUCUGAGCAAAGAAAAACAGGUUUUCUAUUCUCUCUCUGCUCUUUCACCUGGCCUCUGUCCUCUGGCAGGUUCAGAAAAGUCUUGAAGCUUGGCCUUCAAUCAAAAUUAAAUGUUUUUCCAAAUCUAAGACAUUAACAGUGUCCAUCACUUGAUGCAGUGACUGUUCAGGUGUAAAAAUAGGAUAACUGUGGUUUAUUUCAACCUGCUGUAUGUCCCAUUCAUGUGAUUGUUGUAUCUCUUUACGUCAUUCUGACUUUGCAAUCUGUACCUCUGUUGUAGCGAUUAUGGAAAACAAAAUGAUGUGUGUGGAUUAACCUGCCACAAAAGAGUGGCGGGUUAAUCCACACGCAUCAUUUUCUUUGCAGUAGUUUUUGCAAAUGGCUCAUUUCUGUCAGACUUGAGAUACACACAUUUAAAGUGGUUCAUGUAAAAAUCAGAACUUUUGGAAAGCUUUAAGUAGUUUGCACUUUUUGGACCAGUAUACACUGAUUUGUAUAACUCCCCAUUUCCCAGAAUAUCUACAACAGCGGUACAAUUAAACAAAACAUGAACAUAAACGCAUAAUUGAAUUAGCCUCUGCCCUCAGCCUUUUGCUAUGGUAAGCAGAAGGCUAAAUUAUUAGCAUUAGUCACUGUGGCCUCUCAUCACCAGCUUGGAGAUAAACCUACUACACAACCGAAGCGACCUCUAUACAGGACACAGGAGAAUGAAGUUUACUGUUCAUCUGUCUAGGAGAAGAACUGCAAGCUCGGAACAGUUUCUGGACACGAGUACAGUUUUAUGGAUACACUUCACUGAUCCUGACACGUGUUUUAUUGCUUUUAUUGUCACUGUUUUAGCCUCUCUGUUUCCUUUUUUGAGGUUAUGCGACAGUGAGUGAGUUGUUGAAAAUCUUUGAUAAGCAAUUUCUCCUGCAGCAUUUUCUGAUGAUGAAUUAGUUCCAUCUGAAAGAACGUGCACUCACAUCUGCCUUUGUAGAACACCCAGAUGGAAUGCUCUCUUCCUGAAAUUACUCAUAACUAUACUAAGUCUUUCAAUGUGUUCUAGAUUGUCUAAGACCUAAAUUACAACAUGCUGGAAGGUUAGUAGGGAAUUUUUGUUCAGUGAUACCAAAAAAAUACUGCAUACCCCAGGAGAACACACCAGGUAAAGAUAAACCAGAAAUAUUCUUUAAAGGUCCUUUUUUUCCUUUUCUUUACUCAGCUGCUUUCAUCACAUUGGCUCAAUGCAACAACAUAAAUGUACUUGAACCAUUUGUAUGAUUUAUCUGUUGUUGGAGAGAGUCUGGAAAUACAGUCAGUUGGUCAUGACAGCUGACUUUUUAACCCCACCUUUGAUAGUGUGGUAUGACUUUGAAUCAUACUAAGAUUUUUGCCCAGAGUGGGAAUAUUUGCUCCAUUUUUUUGUAAUCGGAUGGUUAAAUUGCCCUCUGCCUAUUUAUAAGUGAAGUUUAGUUGGUAUGACAGUUGUGGGACUGGUAAGUAGCUUAAGUUAUUUUCUGUUUGGAUCAGUUAGUCACAAUUCAGAUGUAACAAAAAGUGGUUUUGUCAACAUAACUGGUACACAGCCACAAAAUGAUCUACUACAUGUAUCAUGAAAUCAUAGUACCAAUGAAAGCUGUCAGCUGUGUGGAGUAAUUCUCUUUCAGCGUAUUGGGGUAGAGGCACACAUCUCUGAGGGACAUGCGAGGGGUGAUUGAUAAGUUUUGAGCCUGACCAAGAAAAAAGUAAAUUUAAACAAUCUUUUAUUUCUCAACAUAAUCCCCUUGCAAGUCCACACAUUUCUUCCAGCGUCUCUGUAGUGCCUUGAUCUCAUAGAAGGUCUUAUCCUGCUCCUGUAGGAAGUUGUUUACCGCAGCUAUGAUGUCAUCGUUUGUGGCAUAGUGGGUCCCAGCAAGGUGCCGUUUCAUGUUUGGGAAAAGAUGAAAGUCAGACGGAGCCAAAUCUGGGGAAUAAGGUGGAUGCUGCACGAGUUCAAAGCCACAUUCGUGAAUGGCAGCCAUGGCGACAACUGACUUGUGAACCAAAGCAUUGUCCUGGUGGAACAGGACACCACGUCUGAGCAUUCCACGGCACUUUUCUUUAAUUUUCUCCCUCAGUUGGUGUACCAGGGAAGCAUAAUAUUGCCCACUGAUGGUCAAUUGAUGGAUCACAGCACGGUCACCAAUUUGGUCCAUUUUGCUUGAAUGACCGACCUCACUCUACUCGGGUAUCAUACAUGCAUGAAUACACGCAUUGCGUUCAAAAUUGAACUCAAACUCUUCUGACAUGUUGCUCUCUCAGAGAACAAAAGGUUUUCAUUAACAAAGUGUCUUUUCUUGGUCAGGCUCAGAACUUAUCAAUUACCCCUCGUAGCUACAACCUGUUUCGAAUGGUGACGCAGCAUCUGGUUAUGUGAGAAAAUAUUUUUGUUUGCAUUCCAAAUUAACUGACUCUGUAACUUGAAUUCAAAAGCAUAAAGCUGCUGCUUAUCAGAUGUCAACAUCUGUGUGUUUUACCCAUAAUCCCUUUUGGGGUCAUUUCCUUGAGUUGAAUCUGCAGUGGACAUCUUGUAUAAAAUAACAAAAAUGAAUCUGGGAUUUGCAGGUGUUAUGUAUUAACCAAACAGUGUCAACGGAGGAAAUGCACAACAUUUUGCAUUAACUGUGCAUUGUACUUAUAUAAUCAUAUAAUAAUAAAAUGUGUUUUGCAUCAGUA